GUGAGGAAUAUUGGUCAAUGGGCGGGAGCCUGAACCAGCCAACUCGCGUGAAGGAAGAAGGAUCUAUGGUUCGUAAACUUCUUUUGCAGGGGAAUAAAGUGCAGGACGUGUCCUGUUUUGUAUGUACCCUGAGAAUAAGGAUCGGCUAACUCCGUGCCAGCAGCCGCGGUAAUACGGAGGAUCCGAGCGUUAUCCGGAUUUAUUGGGUUUAAAGGGUGCGUAGGUGGUUUGAUAAGUCAGCGGUGAAAGUUUGCAGCUUAACUGUAAAAAUGCCGUUGAAACUGUCGGACUUGAGUGUAAAUGAGGUAGGCGGAAUGCGUGGUGUAGCGGUGAAAUGCAUAGAUAUCACGCAGAACUCCGAUUGCGAAGGCAGCUUACUAAGCUACAACUGACACUGAAGCACGAAAGCGUGGGGAUCAAACAGGAUUAGAUACCCUUGUAGUCC
rnacentral:rRNA from 1 species